GACGAACGCUGGCGGCGUGCCUAAUACAUGCAAGUCGAGCGAAGUUUUUCUGGUGCUUGCACCGGAAAAACUUAGCGGCGAACGGGUGAGUAACACGUAAAGAACCUGCCUCAUAGACUGGGACCACUAUUGGAAACGAUAGCUAAUACCGGAUAACAGCAUUAACUGCAUGGUUGAUGUUUAAAAGUUGGUUUUGCUAACACUAUGAGAUGGCUUUGCGGUGCAUUAGCUAGUUGGUGGGGUAAAGGCCUACCAAGGCGACGAUGCAUAGCCGACCUGAGAGGGUGAUCGGCCACACUGGGACUGAGACACGGCCCAGACUCCUACGGGAGGCAGCAGUAGGGAAUCUUCCGCAAUGGGCGAAAGCCUGACGGAGCAACGCCGCGUGAGUGAAGAAGGAUUUCGGUUCGUAAAGCUCUGUUGUUAGGGAAGAAUGAUUGUGUAGUAACUAUACACAGUAGAGACGGUACCUAACCAGAAAGCCACGGCUAACUACGUG
rnacentral:rRNA from 1 species